rnacentral:rRNA from 1 species
GACGAACGCUGGCGGCGUGCUUAACACAUGCAAGUCGAACGGUGAAGCUCCAGCUUGCUGGCGUGGAUCAGUGGCGAACGGGUGAGUAACACGUGAGCAACCUGCCCCAGACUCUGGAAUAAGCGCUGGAAACGGCGUCUAAUACUGGAUACGAGAUCAAGCCGCAUGGUUAUGGUCUGGAAAGUUUUUCGGUUUGGGAUGGGCUCGCGGCCUAUCAGCUUGUUGGUGAGGUAAUGGCUCACCAAGGCGACGACGGGUAGCCGGCCUGAGAGGGCGACCGGCCACACUGGGACUGAGACGCGGCCCAGACUCCUACGGGAGGCAGCAGUGGGGAAUAUUGCACAAUGGGCGAAAGCCUGAUGCAGCGACGCCGCGUGAGGGAUGACGGCCUUCGGGUUGUAAACCUCUUUCAGCAGGGAAGAAGCGAAAGUGACGGUACCUGCAGAAGAAGCACCGGCUAACUACGUG